CGCGGCCUAUCAGCUUGUUGGUGGGGUAGUGGCUUACCAAGGCUUUGACGGGUAGCCGGCCUGAGAGGGUGACCGGCCACAUUGGGACUGAGAUACGGCCCAGACUCCUACGGGAGGCAGCAGUGGGGAAUAUUGCACAAUGGGCGGAAGCCUGAUGCAGCAACGCCGCGUGCGGGAUGACGGCCUUCGGGUUGUAAACCGCUUUCGCCUGUGACGAAGCGUGAGUGACGGUAAUGGGUAAAGAAGCACCGGCUAACUACGUGCCAGCAGCCGCGGUGAUACGUAGGGUGCGAGCGUUGUCCGGAUUUAUUGGGCGUAAAGGGCUCGUAGGUGGUUGAUCGCGUCGGAAGUGUAAUCUUGGGGCUUAACCCUGAGCGUGCUUUCGAUACGGGUUGGCUUGAGGAAGGUAGGGGAGAAUGGAAUUCCUGGUGGAGCGGUGGAAUGCGCAGAUAUCAGGAGGAACACCAGUGGCGAAGGCGGUUCUCUGGGCCUUUCCUGACGCUGAGGAGCGAAAGCGUGGGGAGCGAACAGGCUUAGAUACCCUGGUAGUCCACGCUGUAAACGGUGGGUACUAGGUGUGGGGUCCAUUCCACGGGUUCCGUGCCGUAGCUAACGCUUUAAGUACCCCGCCUGGGGAGUACGG
rnacentral:rRNA from 1 species